AUAUCACAGCCCCUCUCCAAUGGAUAGUACUAUAAAUCUUAAAAUGAAUUUUCAUUCAGAGUAAUAAACACAAGCCAAAGUUUUGUAGAUAUGUAACAUCUGUCAACUUUUUGUGUUAUCUACUUGUUUUCCGAAACACUGCUUCUGGUUUUAAAGGUAACUUCCCACAGUGUUUCACUAAUAACAUUUUAAGCAUUACAAGUUCAACACUGAAGGUCAAAUGACAAUGAACUUUCAGUGCUUCCAAAAGCAGGGGCAGAGGGCAACUGCUGAGGGGGACAUUGUAUAGCCUAACCUUCUCAGAAUUUGAUUUAAAAGUAUGAUCUUCACAGCGUUGGCCAGCAAUAUCAUGGUCACUCCCUACGUCAUUCCCUGGGAGAAAAACAGCCCUAGGUUACCUAAACACUGUUGGCUAAGACCAAAUAUUUAUUAACAUCCUAAGCAGCCCCAUAAUCAAGCCAACGCUGAUAGGGACAAAGAAGGUGCCAUGUGCAGUUUUUCUCCAUGUCCCCGCAAUAUCUGAUCUGAAUUUUAAAAAGGGCAAUUACUGGGGGAGAAGGAAGCCUAUAUAUUAUGUAGGAUCCAAGUCUCAAACUGCUUUCCUAGGGAGUGUGAGGUUCUUGGAGAUUAAGUGCAGUACCUUUCUGUCUUGAGUCCUGUAGGCUGCCCUUCUAAUUUAAUGCCAGUCUUGAAAUAAACAGAAUGCUUUCCAAGUCAUCGCUAAUUUUAACACUUUGGCUUAGAAUUGAUUCAACACUGCCUCCUUGCUGAAUGGAUAAUUCAAGCAAAAGACUCAAGAGCUGGAUGCUACCCAGACAGGUAGGCAGCCAGAUGAAGUGAGUGCCCAGGGAAAGGGCAGUAAGGGUCAGAAGAGAAAGAGGCUGGUGUUGUCACUGCCUCCUGCCUUCCUUAUGACUGUCUGUUCAGGAGUCGUCCUAGCAUCUCCCUUCUGCCGUGCUCCCUUUCCUGAAACCUUUUCUUCAAAAGAAGUGGAAAAGAGGAACAGGGAACCCGUAUAGCAACAGCAUCACCUGGAAUGAAUUCCGUUAGAACAUACUGUCUUGGAAAUCUAAAGCCUGCAGGGCUGGACAGGCAAGAAGAGCAGUGAGCACUGCAUGAACCUAUAAGCAAAUCAGCAUGUGGAUGGUUUUUUGUUUUUUGGGUUUUUUUGAGACAGUCUUACUCUGUUGCCUAGGCUGGAGUGCAGUGGCACGAUCUUGGCUCACUGCAACCUCCAGCCUGCUGGGCCAAGGUGAUUGUCCCACCUCAACCUCUCAAGUAGCUGGGACCACAGGUGUGCACCAACAUGCGCAGUGAAUUUUUGUAGAGAUGGGGUUUCGUUAUGUUGGCCAAGCUGGUCUUGAACUCCUAGGCUAAGCAGUCGGCCUCCCAAAGUGUUGGGAUUACAGGCAUGAGCCACUGCACCAGGCCACACAUGCUUAUCUUACUCAGUCUUGCCCCUGAAUACCCAGAAGGCCUAAACUUAGGAAAAAGUCAGGGGAGGGAUGAGUUUAUCAUUCUUUGCACUCAAGCACAAAGUGCUUUGGAGUCGUUAUAUUUGGGUGAGUGCUUGCACUAUGAGUAGGAUAUUAUUUAGAAGCUGAGUUGUGUGCUGAGCAAAUACUUCUUUAAAAAUCAAAGCUGUAUGAAGAGAUCUGUUCUAGAGUCACAGUGUGGCUAAAUAGUGUGCUAUAAGAUAAGCAUAGGGCUCUUGAGGUGGUGCUGUUCUCCCACUGUAAUGAGUUUACUGUUCUUGCUAAGGAAAGUGAUCCUUUAUCAACCUCUCCUCUCAAAUGAACUGGCUUGUUUCCUGAGUGUGCCUUCAUGGAACCAUGUCUCCUCUUCCCUCAGUUCUCUCCUUCCCUCCCUUAUGUAUGACUCCUCCCAUAAUGCACACACAUGGAUUGAACCAAGUGAGGAUAUUUAUCUGCUUCCUACCUCAUAGAAGGGCAUAGAGUGGACAGGGUCUAAGGUUAGUUCCUGAACUGAGUACCCACACAUGCAGAACUUUAUUUAAAGCUGCUGAAACUUUUGUAUAACAGAUAGAUCAAUAGGACUGAAAACUGAUGGUUUUACCUGCUUGUUGAACGUGAUUAAGUUCCAUGGCACCAUUUUAAAAUUGUGCUGUAUAGUUUUUGUAUGUUGCUUAAGAAGCAGUUUAGCCUAAUGGUUAAAAGCAUGGUCUCUGGAACUAGAUUUCCUCUGUAUGCCUCAGUUUCCUCAUCUGGGAAUAAUAAUAGUUCUACCUCAUGGGGUUGUUAUGAGGAUUAAAUAAUUUAAUUAAAUGAUUUCAUACAACUCUGAAUUGUACUUGACACUUAGUACUCAAAUAUUAACUGGGCCCAUCAUUAUCAUUACAGAUGUUGUUUACAAGCACUUGCCUUUGAGAUUUGUUUAGCUUUUUUAUUAAAUUAUGAGCAGCAUAGUAGAACAAUACAUAGGCUUGGGCCUGGAAUCAGAUUCUAGCUUUGCCUGUUACUAGUUUUGAAACUUUGAGUAAAUUACUUGAUGUGUCUGAGUUUUAAUAUUCUUAUAUGUAAAUUAUUUUUUAAAAGGAUUUUGCUUAGUGUUGAUAUACACACAUUUAACACAGUUAUGGAAAUUAUUAUUUUUACUAUUGUCAUAGAUAAGAAAUUAGCCCCUGGGUUGCUGGAGGGUGGUAAUGGUUAGGCAAACUCUCUUUGAAGUCUGCUUGAUCUGGCCUCUUGCAGGCAUGUACUCCGAAAUAUUUUUCAAAUGGAAAAGAAGGCAGAGAACACAAUUUUCAAAAUAUCUAGAGGCCUCCGAGAAGUCUUUGUAGAGAUCUAUAAAAUCUCAAGGCAAUUUAAAGGCAAUAAGACAACUUUAUUAAUAAUUAAAAUGUAAAUGUUAAUGAUAGCCCUUUGUAUACCUAUAUUAUCUUUUUCUGAAUAAUAGAAAAUGUUUUAGAAACACUAUUCUCUCCACAUCCUGGGGCCGCAGCCUUCUCCAAAGAAACACAAAGAAGGAAAUGAAUUGCCUUAGCAAAAAAACAAAGACACUCCAAAUAACAGAAGAAUGGGAAAGCUACAGACCUUGAAGUCAGAAGAAAAUUUCCUCUCCUUGCCCUGUUUCUCCUUAAAUGGAUCACCAGUACAGUCUCUUACUUCUAGAGCCAUGUUAAGCCUUUUUCCCCUAAGUUGUAAUGUCCUUUUGGUUGCAUCAUGUCCUAAGAUGCAAGAUGGUACAAGAUGAAGGUAUAUGAAGAGAUAAUGAAGAAAACAAAUUCAAUGUAUUUGCCAAGAACACAGUCUUUUAAAUAACUCUUAAAGGGUUCGUUUAGAACAAUGUAAUAGAUUGUGGUAAUCUAGUACACAAAGCUAGUAGGAAUCUCAUGUAUUAAUAUUUCAACAUUCAGCAGUAGAGGGCAGCACUGUCCUUUUGCAAAAUGUUGCACACUCUUGAGAAGGAAAAUAA
ensembl:lncRNA